GGUAUCAAACUCCUAGCAUAAAAUCCUCACUAAUAGGGUAUCAAGGUAUAAGUGCAUAAUCUCCACUGGCAGGGUAUCGAAAUAUCAAUAUUUAAUCUCUAUUGGUAGGGUUGAAUACAUAGUUAGGUUGCGAGUCAAAUCUAUCUCAAGUCAAAAUAUUUUUUCACAUUUCAAUUUCAAAAGUUUAUAAAUCAUGUGAUAUUGAAAUCAGUCAAUAUAAUCCAUAGUAAAUUCAAU
rnacentral:lncRNA from 1 species